rnacentral:rRNA from 1 species
UGGGGAAUAUUGGACAAUGGGCGAAAGCCUGAUCCAGCCAUGCCGCGUGAGUGACGAAGGUCUUCGGAUUGUAAAGCUCUUUUACCAGGGAUGAUAAUGACAGUACCUGGAGAAUAAGCUCCGGCUAACUCCGUGCCAGCAGCCGCGGUAAUACAGAGGGGGCAAGCGUUGUUCGGAAUCACUGGGCGUAAAGCGCACGUAGGUGGAUAGUUAAGUUCGGGGUGAAAUCCCAGGGCUCAACCCUGGAACUGCCUCGGAUACUGGCUAUCUCGAGUCCGGAAGAGGUGAGUGGAAUUCCUAGUGUAGAGGUGAAAUUCGUAGAUAUUAGGAAGAACACCGGUGGCGAAGGCGGCUCACUGGUCCGGUACUGACACUGAGGUGCGAAAGCGUGGGGAGCAAACAGGAUUAGAUACCCCUGUAGUCCCUGAGCGGGCUGGCAAGGCGCAU